UCCCUUAGAUGUUCUGGGCCGCACGCGCGCUACAAUGGUCUUCGCAAACGGAUGCAUUCUCGAAGGAGAAUGCCAAUCUUGGAAUCUAUGCCUUGGUCGGGACAGUUGCUUGCAAUUUUUCGACUCGAACCAGGAAUUCCUUGUAAUCGUGAUUCAUCACAUCACGAUGAAUACGUCCCUGCCCUUUGUACACACCGCCCGUCGCUCCUACCGAUCGAAGAGUUAGGUGAAUUGUUUUGAUCGAUAAGAUUUGACUAUGGUCAACUCUCGUUGUGAAAUUCUGUGAAUCUGACUGUUUAGAGGAAGGAAAAGUCGUAACA
rnacentral:rRNA from 1 species